CAGUAGCCACGGGAAAACGGAGGAUCCGAGCGUUAUCCGGAAUUAUUGGGUUUAAAGGGUGCGUAGGCGGAUAGAUAAGUCAGUGGUGAAAGACGGUGGCUCAACCAUCGCAGUGCCGUUGAUACUGUUUAUCUUGAAUAUGGAUGAGGUAGGCGGAAUGUGGCAAGUAGCGGUGAAAUGCAUAGAUAUGCCACAGAACACCGAUUGCGAAGGCAGCUUACCAAGGCAAAAUUGACGCUGAGGCACGAAAGCGUGGGGAUCGAACAGGAUUAGAUACCCCAGUAGUCCCUGUCUCUUAUAA
rnacentral:rRNA from 1 species